rnacentral:tRNA from 1 species
GCAGGGGUAGCGAAGUGGUCAAACGCGCGAGAUUCAAGCUCUCGUCCUUAGUGGUUCAGAGGUUCGAAUCCUCUCCUCUGCA